AGUUUCAGGGAAGGGAAGUUUCAGGGAAGUUUCAGGGAAGGGAAGGGAAGGGAAGGGAAGAGCUCUUUUCUAAAACUCCAUUCUUAUCUAUUUUUAAAGGAUAACCCUGUGCUAACCACCCCUCCACUGUGGCUCUGAAAACCUGACCACCACUGUGGUAUU
rnacentral:lncRNA from 12 species